GACGAACGCUGGCGGCGUGCUUAACACAUGCAAGUCGAACGGAAAGGCCCUGCUUUUGUGGGGUGCUCGAGUGGCGAACGGGUGAGUAACACGUGAGUAACCUGCCCUUGACUUUGGGAUAACUUCAGGAAACUGGGGCUAAUACCGGAUAGGAGCUCCUGCUGCAUGGUGGGGGUUGGAAAGUUUCGGCGGUUGGGGAUUGACUCGCGGCUUAUCAGCUUGUUGGUGGGGUAGUGGCUUACCAAGGCUUUGACAGGUUGCCGGCCUGGGCGGGGGACCGGCCCCGUCAGGCUUGGGCUGAGGCCCGGACCACAAUCGUACGGAAGGGUGGAGUAUGGUGUAUAAUGGGCUGGGCGCAAGUCCGACCACGCCGUGUCGCGGAAGUGGUGCUGCCGGUAGGGUUCUAAUUCCGCCUUUGCCGGGACGUUAGUGACGGUACUGGGUAAAGAAGCACCGGCUAACUACGUG
rnacentral:rRNA from 1 species